rnacentral:rRNA from 1 species
UACGUAGGUGGCAAGCGUUGUCCGGAAUUAUUGGGUUUAAAGGGUGCGUAGGCGGACCUGUAAGUCAGUGGUGAAAGCCUGUUGCUUAACAACAGAACUGCCAUUGAUACUGCAAGUCUUGAGUACAGUUGAGGUAGGCGGAAUGUGUCAUGUAGCGGUGAAAUGCUUAGAUAUGACACAGAACACCGAUUGCGAAGGCAGCUUGCUAAGCUGUAACUGACGCUGAUGCACGAAAGCGUGGGGAGCAAACAGG